UAAUAUCAAAAUGAUAAAAUAUUCAAGUAUCAUUGUUUCAACUUUCAACAAUUUAAAGUUUGAUCAUCAAAUGGAUUCUCUAAUGGGGGUUUGAGGCGACGUCCCCAACGGGGUCAAGGGGCAGCACCCCUUGCGGGGGCAGCCUUGGUUCGAACCAGGCUUGUGAACCACGAACCCUGUCCGAACCACAGGCGAACCGGACCUGAACCCAAACCCGGACCGUACUGGACCAGUACUAGGGGUCUAGGGGGCCAAACCCAGUAACUUAGAUUAAUUAUAAGCUCUCAAUAAAUAAAUAUAUUUAUAUUUAAAUAUCCAAACCAACCAUCGCCAUAAUUUAACAUCAAUAAACUAUGUAUAUAAUAAUUAAUUAAUUAAUAAUUUACCUCAACUCAUAUAAUCAACCAAACAUGAAAUUAAAUAAAACACCAUGUAUCAACUAGCAAGACAAUUCUAGCCAAAACACUAGGAUUGACAAGACCAACUAAGCCUAGAGUGUGAUGAGACUUCAUGUCACCUUCGAUCAACUUGCCAUUGGGAUUAGAGACACACUUAGACUUGUGAAACCAGGUGGAGUCGAUGUCUAGUACCUGCAUUCUACAAAACACCAAACGUCUCUACAACAACAUAUACAUUUGCAGAUAACAUUAAACAAUCACAUAAAACAAUCAAAUAGGUGAAGGAGAAUCAUGACAUCACACUCUGCUCAUAAAUGAGUGGCAUAACAUCAUCCCUUUCAGGUCCUCAACAAUUAUACAAUCAUGACAAAACAUAGCAUCUACAAUAACCUUAUCAUAUCCAAUAUGAGCACGAAGUAGGAUUAGUACAUAACACAACAUCAUCAUAAACAUAUAUAAACCACAACAUGCAUAUAAUGAGUGCACACAAAUAACCAAACAUAUGUCCCAUCAUCGUAAUAAUCUUGAGUAUAUCAUCAUCCACACAAGACCAUAAUGUAUCAGCUGUCAAGAAGCAAUGUCUAACAUCAACUAAAAGCAUUCGAAAAUAUAAAUAAGCCAUAAGUAUCUAUCAAGAGUAUCAUAAAAGAGUGCAAUAUGGAAGGGUACUACAUAUAUGGUCUCCAAACAUUAGAGUGGGAAAAAUGGGACACCCAUGUGAGGGUUGGGAUAUUGUUUAUUUAUUAUUUAUUCUUCAAAAUACUUACAAUAUUGUGUAAGAAGGCAUUGAAUAGGGAAGUUAGAUUUAAAUGGUCAAAAGUAGGAGUUAUAAAGUAUCUUUUCAUUUUGAAUCAAUGAAUUUUAUGACAAGCAUUGGAUGCCCUCAUGGAGUGCCUAGAUUGAGAAUUCAGUCAAUAUGAUGAUUAUGACCAAAUCUACGAUGUGUAAAAGAGGUGUAAGAGAAGUUAAUUUCUAUUGUGGCUUUCUUGACUAUGACUAUGGGGUGUUGGCUUUUUGGUAGUGGCUCAUGGUUUUGCCUUUUAGUUCUGGGAUACCAUUGGGUGGUUUCUUGUUUUUGAUAUUUCUAUAUGAUGGAGGCAUAGGACAGGUUUGUAAGGUUCUUUUGCCGUUGUUAUGCUGCUGGAUUAUUGUUAGUCGAAGGGAUACAAUUAUUGUUAUGCUUUUGGAUUAUUGUUAGUUAGGAAUAAGCGGAUUUUAUUGUUAUAAUUAAAAAUUUGUAGAAACUUGGGUCUCUUUGGUUGUGGAGUUUCCUACAAGGGUUUCACCAUGUAUGUGUGGUGUUCAUAUGAAUUAUGUAGAUAUGUUUGCUUCUCCAUUGUUUCAUUAAUUUUAAUGGUUUAUCACAUGUUUAAUUGGAUUGAAAUACUUUAUUGUUUGACUUGUAUUCAAGAGAGGAUUGGAUUUGUGGACAUUCCUUGAUUGGUGUGUGAAGGUUAUUGAAAAAUUGUUAUGGCAGCAACUGAGUACAUAUGCAUGAAGAAAAUUCAUAUUGGUAUCUCUUUUUGUAAUCAAGUCUACUGUCGAUCUUUGUCUCUGACAUUCAUUCUCCUUUUGCUAGACCAUGACUAGCUGACGGAUUUAGCUUUGUUGUUCCUAUUCUAGGAAGGGAGUAAAGCCACCUUCCCUAAUGAUUGUUUGGUUUCUUGCCAAUUGCUAUUGAAUAAUGUGUAAUUGAGAGAACACAUUGCCAAAGGUGUAUUCGUUCCGAUCCUUAAUGUGUUUUUAUACAUAUUUUAGCUUAUGAAUUAAUCUGUAUAUUGUUGAGCUCAAAAUAGUUGGAGAUGCUUGACACCCUUGAAAUGCUUUGGUGCCAAAAGCAGGAUGAGAUAGCUACAUGUUGUCAAACUUGAAUACUGAUGACCUCCUAUGGAUAGGUGGCAAGAAUAUGGAUAACAUUAUUGGGCAAUGAUCAGAUGAUGUGAUCUUAUUGAUAUAUGUUUCAAAGCCAAUCCUUUGUAAGGAACAUUAUGUCACACUUGUCAGCAAUUUAUUUGAGUCCCUUCCAACCACAGCACCAAUUAUACUGCCCUUGUAAAAAUUCGAUUUCCAUCAAAAUGGUACUGCUUUCUAGUUGAUGAAGAGCUAUGGUUGUUCUGUGGUUGAAUCCAAGGCUCCCUUUUCUUCAUGAUGGCAUAUGGUGUUAACAUUUCCCAUGAUAAUUAAAUGCAUGGGCUGAGAAAUUAAGAUCCAUUUCACUAACUGUAUGAGCAGCUUAAAUCUUUGAUUUUUUAUUGGGGGAUGUAAAUAUUGAGUACCCAAAAGCAGAGUUGCAGUUCAUACGAGAAGCAUUCUUGCUGCAGGUUCAACGGAAAAAUCUGAGAAAUGUGCAAUUGCCAUUUUGAGGGAUUCCAGUGAAUCAGUCAUUUGGAGACCAGGCAUUGGAUAAUUUGUGUGGAUCCCUUGAUGUUGUGAAAAAUGUUUAGGGUUUUUGUUUGUUUAUGAAUUUCUCAUAAUAGGAGAAGAUAGACUUGUUUAUUCUAGAUCAAAUCCUUGAGAAAUAAAUGUGCGUUUGGGGAGCCUAAUCUCAUUAUGUUCCAAGAUACAAUCUUAAUUGUAAAGAUGGAUCUCACAUGCCAAUCUGUUGCUUAGAUUUUUCAUUUCCUUAUCCUCCUUGAAGGGAGAUAUUGCUCUGUGUUAAUUGCUGGUUUGGAGCCCAAAAUUGUGUUUUAUCCACUGUUUGUUGAAUGCUUGUAUCUUUUUCUAUGAUCAAUCUGUCACUAAUUGAUUUUUUUCUCUUUGACAGUGAGUGAGGAGAUUGACCGCCAAAAUUGAAAUUGAUUGAUUGUAGGAUCCUUUUCUUGUCUGAAAGGAUGGCUUUUGUUUUUGCUAUGAGUUGUCUCUGCAGAAUUAGUAGCUGUAAAAUGUAAUGCUGGAGGGGGAUGGCACUAGACUGACCUGAUGAGAAAGGGGUGUUGGGGAUCAGCUACUAGGGCGGGUGUUGCAUCUGUGAUGUCUAUUUUUUCUGUUGAAACCUUUAAAACUAUGUUGCCAGUUUGGGUUUGGAAGUUUGCUGGUUUUUUCCUGUGUUCAGUAUAGCUCUUCCAGAUGUCAAGUUGCUUGACUUUGGUUUCUUCCUCAUUAAUUUCAAAUUGGUUGACGACUAACGAAAUUCCUUGUGGUUUUUUGAACAAUCCAGUUUUUUCUUUGCCCUGUGGUCCCCUUUCUUUGAUCCGUCCACUGCUGUUAUCACUUCCAUUCCAAUAUGGAUUUGUUUGUACAAUCGUCCGUUGAUCAUGCAUGAUACAGAUCUCAUAAAAAAUAUGAUUGAUCAGGUGGGGAGUUCUGUUAUCUGGGAUCAUGAUUUGGUGGCACCUACUUGCAGAUUCAUCAGGGUGUGCACCAUGAUAGAUAUUUCAAAACCAAUUUUUCUAUUUCAUCAGAAUCCAUUCCUCUUUUGGCACUUGGAGACAAUUUUUGAAUUAUGAAGGUUUCCUUCUCAGUUGCUUCCUCUACAACGUGUUGGGACACAAAAUCGCUGGUUGCUCCGCUCAGAUUUCACACUCAAAGAUGAUAAAACUUAAAAAAAUCUUUAAGAAUCUUUGGACUAACAUAUGCACCCAUGCAUUGUAGAUGAAGCCUUUUGUUUUUUAGAGAGAACAAUUUUUGCUCUGUUUAAAUGGGUGAUGACCUUAGCACUCUUCAAGACUAGUACACAGAUUUGUUUGUGUAGGCUCUUGCCAUCAAAGUUAUAUCAUGGGUUGUGAGUUCCUCUUCAUUAGAGAUUUUUUUUCUCAAUAGUGCCAGGUAAACUUUUUAACGUGAUUGGUGGUGUUGGCAUGACACACGCUCUAGUACCAAGUGGAAUGCUUUUGACCCGGAGCUAUGAAAUGGUGAGGUCACAAAUGAGGGAUCUCAAACCCGCAAGCAAUUUGGUUCAGUGAAGGCACAAGCCUGCAAUCACAAUGGUACAGUGGGGGUUUGAAUAUUGAUGGUCACAACAACAACAGCACCACUUAACCAACACACUAUGAGAAGAACCCCUCAUUUGAGAAAAAUGGAGUACACACUCCGUUAUCCAUUUAAUGAAGUGCAAUUAGUUGGUUGCAAAAAGCAUAGAAAAAAUUGUGUAUGUGCUUUCCAAUUUGUAUCUUCUUUCACAUAAGCAAGCUGAUACAAGGAGGCAAUGAGCCAUUGGGAUGUAGCACUUGAGUAGCUCAACUUGGAUGGUUCUAUCACGCAACCUUUUCUACUCUUGUGGUUCUAUCUAACCGAUUGAUGACAUUGAUGCUUUUGAUGAA